GGCGACGUUGCGGAGGUCCAGGCGGUCGGCCCGGUGGAGGUCCUGGAGGAGACGGUCCCGGCGGUGGAGGUCCAGGCGGUCGGCCCGGUGGAGGUCCUGGAGGAGACGGUCCCGGCGGUGGAGGUCCAGGCGGUCGGCCCGGUGGAGGUCCUGGAGGAGACGGUUCCGGCGGUGGAGGUCCAGGCGGUCGGCCCGGUGGAGGUCCUGGAGGAGACGGUCCCGGCGGUGGAGGUCCAGGCGGUUGGCCCGGUGGAGGUCCUGGAGGAGACGGUCCCGGCGGUGGGAGGACGGCUGGGGGGUCCGUCGAUGGAGGUCCGAAGGCGGCUCGUGAUUAGACCAACCAGCUCCUCGUCCAUGGAAGGAUUGAAGGAGUCACUGGGGAUGAAGAUCAAUGGUCAGGGGCUGACGACCACUCAUCUUUCCGGAGAAGCGUCCUCAUGGUGCAGGCGGUCAAACCUCCACCUCUUUGAAGAGACAAGCAGCUUGAUGACUGACUGGUUCUUUAUACUCAAGACCUCGUCCCGGAGCAGAGGACGGACCUAAGGCCCGCAGCGCAGCCGACUAGAGACUCCAUGUGGAACCGGUUCAAUUAAGUUGACCUCUCCUUCAGGCGACUUAAAGGGAGACCAGUUGUGCGGCAGCUGGGUGUCAUGGUGCAGAGACCCAACGCUGUACUGAACUACACCAGUGUGUCCUACUCCCAUAAACCCUGAGGAUCCCUGGAUGGCUACACCAGCACAUUAAUCCACACCCAACAUCAACACACAGUGCACACUCUAGAGCUCGUAAGUCUGCCCCUUGCGGCGGGACCUUGUGAGAUCGUAAGAUAUGACUGGGUUUCAAUGGAGAGAAAGUAAUUAUUUUCUCCAUUUUAUGUUGCACCACAUUUUGGGGGAAGAAUGUUUGAAUCAAUCUUUGUCAUUUAUUUCUGUACUCCAUAUCUGUAAUCCCAGCUGUUGUAUUUUAACACUGUAGCUGGGAACCCUCUUUAUAGGGAGCGACUAGAGGGACGAGGCUGGAAGCAAACCUAGGCCUGGAUCUUAACCUUCUUUCUAAACCUAAUGCCGCAAUUUAACCGCAGAUAAAGUGAGGCCUAAAGUAACUUGACUCUCUUACCUAAACUUGCUUGCCUAAACCCGCUUGUCUAAACUCGCUUGCAUAAAACCUAAACUCGCUUGCAUAAAACCUGAACUUGCUUGGCUAAACUUGCGUCGCUUGCCUAAUACCUGAACUUGCUUGCCUAAACUCGCUUGCCUAAUACCUGAACUCGCUUGCCUGAACUCGCUUGCCUGAACUCGCUUGCCUGAACUCGCUUGCCUGAACUCGCUUGCCUGAACUCGCUUGCCUGAACUCGCUUGCCUAAACUCGCUUGCCUAAACUCGCUUGCCUAAAACCUAAACUUGCUUAGCUUGACUCGCUUGCCUGUACUCGCUUGGCUAAACUCGCUUGCAUAAAACCUAAACUUGCUUAGCUUGACUCGCUUGCCUGUACUCGCUUGCCUAAUACCUGAACUCGCUUGCCUAAAACCUAAACUUGCUUAGCUUGACUCGCUUGCCUGUACUCGCUUGGCUAAACUCGCUUGCAUAAAACCUAAACUCGCUUGCAUAAAACCUAAACUCGCUUAGCUUGACUCGCUUGCCUAAUACCUGAAGUCGCUUGCCUAAUACCUGAAGUCGCAUGCCUAAUACCUGAAGUCGCUUGCCUAAAACCUAAACUUGCUUGUCUAAACAUGUUACACAAAGUUAACCAUCCAUAAUCUUUAACCCAAACCAGACUUGUCCCUGGGUCGCUCCACUUUAAUUUACAAGUUUCUUCUUUUACCUCAUCUGCGUUUUGAGUUUCAUUCUUUGAGAACUUGAAGUGCUUUGGAGGAUAUUUGAACCUUUGUUUGCCGCAUCACUAAAACUUGCUUUAUCUUUACCCAUUUUGUUUUGGAUUGCAUUUCUAUGUGUAAUCCGGCCAAAUGUUCAGUGUCCUGAACAUUUGGCAGAACUUUUCUUUUUCUGCCUUCAUACGUAAUGCCUACAUUAGUAGGGUGAUCACUGUUGAUCCCAAUAUUGAUCAUUAACCACCUCAUUCUUUGGGAUUACAAAUCAUGUAAUUUAUGAGCAUAUUUGCAAAUGCCUCCAAAUAUCAGAUUGUGUAAAAACGAAUGAAAUGUAACCUGCUUGAUUUAAAGAAAAUAAAACAUCCAAAUAUUAUAAACCUGUUUUGUGUUGCUCUCUUACCAUGUGGAAAUGAGCAGAUGGAUAUGUUUAGCGCUGAUUUGCUGCCUCCUUUUGGUGUGGUGCUGGGAUUUGUUUAAUAUACUAUUAUCAUUUCCAGGAUAAGUUAAUAACCUAGUAUAGCCUACCCGGAGAAGAAGGGAUAUGAUGGCCAGGGCAGGCUGUUUCGGUGUAAGUGAAAUCCGCGAGCUGCUUAUCAUGUGAGAGAAGGUUAUGUAGUCACAUUAAAAAAUACCUUGAAAGAUGGUAGGCCUACGAUCUACGAGAGACGCAGAGGAACUUUCCUUAUGAGGCUUUUGUCGGGA